UACGUAGGUGGCAAGCGUUAUCCGGAAUUAUUGGGCGUAAAGAGCGCGCAGGUGGUUGAUUAAGUCUGAUGUGAAAGCCCACGGCUUAACCGUGGAGGGUCAUUGGAAACUGGUCGACUUGAGUGCAGAAGAGGGAAGUGGAAUUCCAUGUGUAGCGGUGAAAUGCGUAGAGAUAUGGAGGAAUACCAGUGGCGAAGGCGGCUUCCUGGUCUGUAACUGACACUGAGGCGCGAAAGCGUGGGGAGCAAACGGGAUUAGAUACCCGUGUA
rnacentral:rRNA from 1 species